GUGUGUUCCAGGCAAAUCCGGUUCACUUUACACUGAGGCGUGACGACGAGGCACUACGGUGCUGAAGUGAUAAAUGCCCUGCUUCCAGGAAAAGCCUCUAAGCAUCAGGUAACACAAAAUCGUACCCCAAACCGACACAGGUGGUCAGGUAGAGAAUACCCAGGCGCUUGAGAGAACUCGGGUGAAGGAACUAGGCAAAAUGGUGCCGUAACUUCGGGAGAAGGCACGCUGUCGGUAGGUGAAACCCCUCGCGGGUGGAGCUGAAGGCAGUCGAAGAUACCAGCUGGCUGCAACUGUUUAUUAAAAACACAGCACUGUGCAAACACGAAAGUGGACGUAUACGGUGUGACGCCUGCCCGGUGCCGGAAGGUUAAUUGAUGGGGUUAUCCGCGAGGAGAAGCUCUUGAUCGAAGCCCCGGUAAACGGCGGCCGUAACUAUAACGGUCCUAAGGUAGCGAAAUUCCUUGUCGGGUAAGUUCCGACCUGCACGAAUGGCGUAAUGAUGGCCAGGCUGUCUCCACCCGAGACUCAGUGAAAUUGAAAUCGCUGUGAAGAUGCAGUGUACCCGCGGCAAGACGGAAAGACCCCGUGAACCUUUACUACAGCUUGACACUGAACACUGAGCCUUGAUGUGUAGGAUAGGUGGGAGGCUUUGAAGCGUGGACGCCAGUCUGCGUGGAGCCAACCUUGAAAUACCACCCUUUAAUGUUUGGUGUUCUAACGUAGGCCCGUAAUCCGGGCUGCGGACAGUGUCUGGUGGGUAGUUUGACUGGGGCGGUCUCCUCCCAAAGCGUAACGGAGGAGCACGAAGGUUGGCUAAUCCUGGUCGGACAUCAGGAGGUUAGUGCAAUGGCAUAAGCCAGCUUGACUGCGAGAGUGACGGCUCGAGCAGGUGCGAAAGCAGGUCAUAGUGAUCCGGUGGUUCUGAAUGGAAGGGCCAUCGCUCAACGGAUAAAAGGUACUCCGGGGAUAACAGGCUGAUACCGCCCAAGAGUUCAUAUCGACGGCGGUGUUUGGCACCUCGAUGUCGGCUCAUCACAUCCUGGGGCUGAAGUAGGUCCCAAGGGUACGGCUGUUCGCCGUUUAAAGUGGUACGCGAGCUGGGUUUAGAACGUCGUGAGACAGUUCGGUCCCUAUCUGCCGUGGGCGCUGGAGAAUUGAGGGGGGUUGCUCCUAGUACGAGAGGACCGGAGUGAACGCACCGCUGGUGUCCGGGUUGUCACGCCAGUGGCACUGCCCGGUAGCUAAGUGCGGAAAAGAUAAGUGCUGAAAGCAUCUAAGCACGAAACUUGCCCCGAGAUGAGUUCUCCCUGAGCCUUUAAGGCUCCUGAAGGGACGUUGAAGACGACGACGUUGAUAGGCCGGGUGUGUAAGCGCAGCGAUGCGUUGAGCUUACCGGUACUAAUGACCCGUGAGGCUUAACCUUACAACGCCAGAGGCGUUUUG
rnacentral:rRNA from 1 species